rnacentral:rRNA from 1 species
CACGAAAGUGUGGGGAUCAAACAGGAUUAGAUACCCUGGUAGUCCACACAGUAAACGAUGAUAACUCGCUGUCGGCGAUACACAGUCGGUAGUCAAGCGAAAGCGAUAAGUUAUCCACCUGGGGAGUACGACCGCAAGGUUGAAACUCAAAGGAAUUGACGGGGGCCCGCACAAGCGGAGGAACAUGUGGUUUAAUUCGAUGAUACGCGAGGAACCUUACCCGGGCUCGAACUGGUACAUGAACGAUCCAAGAGAUUGAGAGGUCCUUCGGGACAUGUAUCGAGGUGCUGCAUGGUUGUCGGCAGCUCGUGCUCGUGAGGUGUCGGCUUAAGUGCCAUAACGAGCGCAACCCUUGUUGAUAGUUACCAUCAGGUAAAGCUGGGGACUCUAUCAAGACUGCCGCCGUAAGCGUGUGAGGAAGGGGGGGAUGACGUCAAAUCAGCACGGCCCUUAUCGUUCCGGGGCGACACACGUGUUACAAUGGUAGGUACAGAGGGCAGUCAGGUAGCGAUACCGCACAAAUCUCAAAAAC